rnacentral:lncRNA from 1 species
CAUCAUCACUUUUAUCAGCAGGAAUGCAUUUAUGGCACUUUGUCAUCGGUGAGAAAAACCUGCUGUGUGAAGCUGGGCUCCCCCCGGAACCCCAGAGCUGAUGGAAGGAAGGUCCUGGAACCUGGGCACAAAGCAGCCUUAAGCUUUUUGUUGGAGGCAGAGCGAAGUGUGACAGCUGUAAUGGGAGAGUGGGUAAAUGUGACCAAAAGCCCGGCCUGAAGUUCACAGCGAAACUGAAGUGCUGCACCACUUUCAAGGAGGAGAAUUUGGGCCAAGGAUUCAGCGACGGACAUCUGAAGAACUCAGAAAAAAACAACAACCAAGGGAUGGGGAAAACAGAACAAAGGAAGAGACCGGCUCCCUUUCACAGCCACCUCCUUCUCUUACGGCUCCUCAGCAGACACGUGAGCGAGCUCCUGCGGGGUGGGUGCCACGCGCACUGAGAGCAGAGUGCUGCAGACCCGUGCUCCGAGCAGGCGGCAGACGGACAGGAGCAGCGCUGCCUGACUCCGGGCUGACCCAGGAACCCAAGAUUUUUGGCAUACUGGUCUUGACCUCUCCUUUCUGUCCUGUCAGCUGUUAUUUCCCAGUGCCCUUGGAUAGGCUGAAUUUGCUCUUCCUCGCGGCCUUUAUAUAGUUCCCCCCUCCCCAUACUUCUGUUAGGCUUUUAGAUCUUUGGGCGAAUCUUGGAACUGCGGAUUAAAAUCCCACAUCUCAGCUUUUAUGAAAAGAUUUGCCGAGGUCUGGGUGUUGCUGGCAGCCUGAUAUUCUGCACCAUUUACCGGCUGUGAAUUAUGUAGAUACUCAUAUUUUUAAUUUCCUUUCAUUUAGUUGUGUGUGCAGGACCUCUGUCAUGACCAGCAGGGAACUCUCCUGGGUACAAAGAGGCUAUUCAGCUCCUGUGCCAACCCUGGCUCGUAAAAGCCUGACAGCUCUCAACAAACAAAGCCUAGAAAUGUUGCUAUUAAAAGCAUUUAUUGAAUAAAUCCAUAUGUGACAAAAUGAUAGCUGCA